rnacentral:rRNA from 1 species
UACAGCAGCCAUAUCACUUUGCAACUCACAACCGGCAAUCCACUGAAGCUAAGCAGGUGUGAGCCUGGUCAGUACCUGGAUGGGAGACCUCCUGGGAAAAACUAAGGUUGCUGCUGGAA